GACGAACGCUGGCGGCGUGCCUAAUACAUGCAAGUGGGACGCAAGGGAACACACUGUGCUUGCACACCGUGUUUUCUUGAGUCGCGAACGGGUGAGUAACGCGUAGGUAACCUGCCUAUUAGCGGGGGAUAACUAUUGGAAACGAUAGCUAAUACCGCAUAAUAUUAAUUAUUGCGUGAUAAUUGAUUGAAAGAUGCAAGCGCAUCACUAGUAGAUGGACCUGCGUUGUAUUAGCUAGUUGGUAAGGUAAGAGCUUACCAAGGCGACGAUACAUAGCCGACCUGAGAGGGUGAUCGGCCACACUGGGACUGAGACACGGCCCAGACUCCUACGGGAGGCAGCAGUAGGGAAUCUUCGGCAAUGGACGAAAGUCUGACCGAGCAACGCCGCGUGAGUGAAGAAGGUUUUCGGAUCGUAAAGCUCUGUUGUAAGUCAAGAACGUGUGUGAGAGUGGAAAGUUCACACAGUGAC
rnacentral:rRNA from 1 species